rnacentral:siRNA from 1 species
GCCAUUUCGAGUGGUUGUUGAGG